UAAAAAUUUAUUUAUUUUAGGUAGUAACAGAUUUCUUGAAACCUAAAGAAUUUGGCGGUAUUUUAAAUAAUUAGAGGAACCUGUUAAAUAAAUGAUAAUCCACAACAUAUCUUACCUUAAUUGAGUCUGUAUACCGUUGUUUUCAGAUUAUAUUUAAAAAUUAUAAUCAAGAUUAAUUAAUUUUCAUAAAUCAAAUCAAGGUGCAACAUAUUUAGGUCUUAAUGGGUUACAAUAUACUUAUAUACACGAAUUAAUUAUGAAAAAUUUUUUUGAAGGUGGAUUUAAAAGUAAUUUAAAAUUAAGAUGUUUAAAUGAAUAAAAAUUUAAAAUAUGC
rnacentral:rRNA from 1 species